GGGGGUAUGGCGCAGUUGGGAGCGCGUCUGUCUGGCAGACAGAAGGUCAGGGGUUCGAAUCCCCUUAUCUCCACCA
rnacentral:tRNA from 1 species